rnacentral:rRNA from 1 species
UACGGGGGGAGCAAGCGUUGUUCGGAAUUACUGGGUGUAAAGGGUUCGUAGGCGGUGUGGCAAGUCGGGAGUGAAAUCUCUGGGCUCAACCCAGACGUCUGCUUCCGAAACUGCUGUGCUUGAGUGUGGGAGAGGCGCGUGGAAUUGCAGGUGUAGCGGUGAAAUGCGUAGAUAUCUGCAGGAACACCCGUGGCGAAAGCGGCGCGCUGGACCACUACUGACGCUGAGGAACGAAAGCUAGGGGAGCAAACAGG